GGGGGGUAGGCCAAUUUAAGUUAAUUUUGGACCAAUUUCAAGAGAUUGUGACGGGCAACGACUAUAUAGGUGUUGUAGAGGAGACAUUGGCGCAUUGUUUAAACAAAUCUUCAGAGUGGUUUAUGUUCGAAAAUCUGAAGUCACGGUUAAAAAACUGAAAUUGUGAAAUUGACCAAAUAAGAUUACGGGGGUAGGUCACUAAAAGAAAAUUUUGGACCAAUUUCAAGACAUUGUGACGGGCAGCGACUAUACAGUAUUGUAGAGGAGACAUUGGCGCAUCGUUUAAGAAAAUCUCCAGAGUGGUUUAUGUUCCAAAAUCUGAAGUUACGGUUCAAAAACUGAAAUUGUGAAAUUGAGAAAAUGAGAUUAGAGGGUAGGCCAAUUAAAGUUAAUUUUGCACCAAUUUCAAGAGAUUCUGACGGGCAACGACUAUAUAGGUGUUAUAGAGGAGACAAUGGCGCAUCGUAUAAGAAAAUCUCCAGAGUGGUUUAUGUUCGAAAAUCUGAAGUUACGGUUAAAAAACUGAAAAUUAUAUUGUGAAAUUGACAAAAUGAGAUUAGGGGGGUAGGUCACUAAAAGAAAAAUUUGGACCAUUUUAAAGAGAUUGUGACGGGCAACGACUAUAUAGGUGUUGUAGAGGAGACAUUGGCGCAUCGUUUAAGAAAAUUUCCAGAGUGGUUUACGUUCGAAAAUCUGAAGUUACGGUUAAAAAACUGAAAAUUAUAUUGUGAAAUUGACAAAAUGAGAUUAGGGGGUAGGCCAAUUUAAGUUAAUUUUGGACCAAUUUCAAGAGAUUGUGACGGGCAACGACUUUAUAGGUGUUGUAGAGGAGACAUUGGCGCAUCAUUUAAGAAAAUUUCCAGAGUGGUUUAUGUUCGAAAAUCUGAAGUUACGGUAAAAAAACUGAAAUUUUGAAAUUGACAAAAUGAGAUUAGGGGGGGUAGGCAAAUUUAGGUUAAUUUUGGACAAAUUUCAAGAAAUUGUGACGGGCAACGACUAUAUAGGUGUUGUAGAGGAGACAAUGGCACAUCGUUUAAGAAAAUCCCCAGAGUGGUUUAUGUUCGAAAAUCUGAAGUUAUGGUUAAAAAACUGAAAUUGUGAAAUUGACAAAAUGAGAUUAGGGGGUAGGUCAAUUUAAGUUAAUUUUGGACCAAUUUCAAGAGAUUGUGACGGGCAACGACUAAAUAGGUGUUGUAGAGGAGACAAUGGCGCAUCGUUUUAGAAAAUCUCCAAGGUGGUUUAUGUUCGAAAAUCUGAAAUCACGGUUAAAAAACUGAAAAUUUUAUUGUGAAAUUGACAAAAUGAGAUUAGGGGGGUAGGGCAGAAAAAGGAAAUUUUGGACCAAUUCAAAGAGAUUGUGACGGACAACAACUAUAUAGGUGUUGUAGAGGAGACAAUGGCGCAUCGUUUAAGAAAAUCUCCAAGGUGGUUUAUGUUCGAAAAUCUGAAGUUACGGUUAAAUAACUGAAAUUGUGAAUUUGACAAAAUGAGAUUAGGGGGGUAGGCCAAUUUAAGUUAAUUUUGGACCAAUUUCAAGAGAUUGUGACGGGCAACGACUAUAUAGGUGUUGUAGAGGAGACAAUGGCACAUCGUUUAAGAAAAUCUCCAGAGUGGUUUAUGUUCGAAAAUCUGAAGUUAUGGUUAAAAAACUGAAAUUGUGAAAUUGACAUAAUGAGAUUAGGGGGGUAGGCCAAUUUAAGUUAAUUUUGGAGCAAUUUCAAGAGAUUUUGACGGGCAACGACUAUAUAGGUGUUGUAGAGGAGACAUUGGCGCAUUGUUUAAGAAAAUCUUCAGAGUGGUUUAUGUUCGAAAAUCUGAAGUCACGGUUAAAAAACUGAAAUUGUGAAAUUGACAAAAUAAGAUUAGGGGGGUAGGGCACUAAAAGAAAAAUUUGGACCAAUUUCAAGAGAUUGUGACGGGUAACGACUAUAUAGGUGUUGUAGAGGAGACAUUGGCGCAUCGUUUAAGAAAAUCUCCAGAGUGGUUUAUGUUCCAAAAUCUGAAGUUACGGUUAAAAAACUGAAAUUGUGAAAUUGAGAAAAUGAGAUUAGGGGGGUAGGCAAAUUUAAGUUAUUUUUGGACCAAUUUCAAGAGAUUGUGACGGGCAACGACUAAAUAGGUGUUGUAGAGGAGACAAUGGCGCAUCGUGUUAGAAAAUCUCCAAGGUGGUUUAUGUUCGAAAAUCUGAAGUUACGGUUAAAAAACUGAAAAUUUUAUUGUGAAAUUGACAAAAUGAGAUUAGGGGGUAGGGCACAAAAAGGAAAUUUUGGACCAUUUCAAAGAGAUUGUGACGGGCAACAACUAUAUAGGUGUUGUAGAGGAGACAAUGACGCAUCGUUUAAGAAAAUCUCCAAGGCAUUAUGUUCGAAAAUCUGAAGUUACGGUAAAAUAACUGAAAUUGUGAAAUUGACAAAAUGAGAUUAAGGGGGUAGGUCAAUUUAAGUUAAUUUUGGACCAAUUUCAAGAGAUUGUGACGGGCAACGACUAAAUAGGUGUUGUAGAGGAGACAAUGGCGCAUCGUGUUAGAAAAUCUCCAAGGUGGUUUAUGUUCGAAAAUCUGAAGUUACGGUUAAAAAACUGAAAAUUUUAUUGUGAAAUUGACAAAAUGAGAUUAGGGGGUAGGGCACAAAAAGGAAAUUUUGGACCAAUUUCAAGAGAUUGUGACAGGCAACGACUAUAUAGGUAUUGUAGAGGAGACAAUGGCGCAUCGUUUAAGAAAAUCUCCAGAGUGGUUUAUGUUCGAAAAUCUGAAGUUACGGUUAAAAAACUGAAAUUGUGAAAUUGACAAAAUGAGAUUAGGGGGUAGGUCAAUUUAAGUUAAUUUUGGACCAAUUUCAAGAGAUUGUGACAGGCAACGACUAUAUAGGUAUUGUAGAGGAGACAAUGGCGCAUCGUUUAAGAAAAUCUCCAGAGUGGUUUAUGUUCGAAAAUCUGAAGUCACGGUUAAAAAACUGAAAAUUUUAUUGUGAAAUUGACAAAAUGAGAUUAGGGGGGUAGGGCACAAAAAGGAAAUUUUGGACCAAUUCAAAGAGAUUGUGACGGACAACAACUAUAUAGGUGUUGUAGAGGAGACAAUGGCGCAUCGUUUAAGAAAAUCUCCAAGGUGGUUUAUGUUCGAAAAUCUGAAGUUACGGUUAAAUAACUGAAAUUGUGAAUUUGACAAAAUGAGAUUAGGGGGGUAGGCCAAUUUAAGUUAAUUUUGGACCAAUUUCAAGAGAUUGUGACGGGCAACGACUAUAUAGGUGUUGUAGAAGAGACAAUGGCACAUCGUUUAAGAAAAUCUCCAGAGUGGUUUAUGUUCGAAAAUCUGAAGUUAUGGUUAAAAAACUGAAAUUGUGAAAUUGACAUAAUGAGAUUAGGGGGGUAGGCCAAUUUAAGUUAAUUUUGGACCAAUUUCAAGAGAUUGUGACGGGCAACGACUAUAUAGGUGUUGUAGAGGAGACAUUGGCGCAUUGUUUAAGAAAAUUUUCAGAGUGGUUUAUGUUCGAAAAUCUGAAGUCACGGUUAAAAAACUGAAAUUGUGAAAUUGACAAAAUAAGAUUAGGGGGGUAGGGCACUAAAAGAAAAAUUUGGACCAAUUUCAAGAGAUUGUGACGGGCAACGACUAUAUAGGUGUUGUAGAGGAGACAUUGGCGCAUCGUUUAAGAAAAUCUCCAGAGUGGUUUAUGUUCGAAAAUCUGAAGUUACGGUUAAAAAACUGAAAAUUUUAUUGUGAAAUUGACAAAAUGAGAUUAGGGGGUAGGGCACAAAAAGGAAAUUUUGGACCAUUUCAAAGAGAUUGUGACGGGCAACAACUAUAUAGGUGUUGUAGAGGAGACAAUGACGCAUCGUUUAAGAAAAUCUCCAAGGCAUUAUGUUCGAAAAUCUGAAGUUACGGUAAAAUAACUGAAAUUGUGAAAUUGACAAAAUGAGAUUAAGGGGGUAGGUCAAUUUAAGUUAAUUUUGGACCAAUUUCAAGAGAUUGUGACGGGCAACGACUAUAUAGGGGUUGUAAAAGACACAUUGGCGCAUCGUUUUAGAAAAUCUCCAAAGUGGUUUAUGUUCGAAAAUCUGAAGUUACGGUUAAAAAACUGAAAUUGUGAAAUUGACAAAAUGAGAUUAGGGGGGGGUAGGCAAAUUUAAGUUAAUUUUGGACAAAUUUCAAAAGAUUGUGACGGGCAACGACUAUAUAGGUGUUGUAGAGGAGACAAUGGCACAUCGUUUAAGAAAAUCUCCAGAGUGGUUUAUGUUCGAAAAUCUGAAGUUAUGGUUAAAAAACUGAAAUUGUGAAAUUGACAUAAUGAGAUUAGGGGGGUAGGCCAAUUUAAGUUAAUUUUGGAGCAAUUUCAAGAGAUUUUGACGGGCAACGACUAUAUAGGUGUUGUAGAGGAGACAUUGGCGCAUUGUUUAAGAAAAUCUUCAGAGUGGUUUAUGUUCGAAAAUCUGAAGUCACGGUUAAAAAACUGAAAUUGUGAAAUUGACAAAAUAAGAUUAGGGGGGUAGGGCACUAAAAGAAAAAUUUGGACCAAUUUCAAGAGAUUGUGACGGGUAACGACUAUAUAGGUGUUGUAGAGGAGACAUUGGCGCAUCGUUUAAGAAAAUCUCCAGAGUGGUUUAUGUUCCAAAAUCUGAAGUUACGGUUAAAAAACUGAAAUUGUGAAAUUGAGAAAAUGAGAUUAGGGGGGUAGGCAAAUUUAAGUUAUUUUUGGACCAAUUUCAAGAGAUUGUGACGGGCAACGACUAAAUAGGUGUUGUAGAGGAGACAAUGGCGCAUCGUGUUAGAAAAUCUCCAAGGUGGUUUAUGUUCGAAAAUCUGAAGUUACGGUUAAAAAACUGAAAAUUUUAUUGUGAAAUUGACAAAAUGAGAUUAGGGGGUAGGGCACAAAAAGGAAAUUUUGGACCAUUUCAAAGAGAUUGUGACGGGCAACAACUAUAUAGGUGUUGUAGAGGAGACAAUGACGCAUCGUUUAAGAAAAUCUCCAAGGCAUUAUGUUCGAAAAUCUGAAGUUACGGUAAAAUAACUGAAAUUGUGAAAUUGACAAAAUGAGAUUAAGGGGGUAGGUCAAUUUAAGUUAAUUUUGGACCAAUUUCAAGAGAUUGUGACGGGCAACGACUAAAUAGGUGUUGUAGAGGAGACAAUGGCGCAUCGUGUUAGAAAAUCUCCAAGGUGGUUUAUGUUCGAAAAUCUGAAGUUACGGUUAAAAAACUGAAAAUUUUAUUGUGAAAUUGACAAAAUGAGAUUAGGGGGUAGGGCACAAAAAGGAAAUUUUGGACCAAUUUCAAGAGAUUGUGACAGGCAACGACUAUAUAGGUAUUGUAGAGGAGACAAUGGCGCAUCGUUUAAGAAAAUCUCCAGAGUGGUUUAUGUUCGAAAAUCUGAAGUUACGGUUAAAAAACUGAAAUUGUGAAAUUGACAAAAUGAGAUUAGGGGGUAGGUCAAUUUAAGUUAAUUUUGGACCAAUUUCAAGAGAUUGUGACAGGCAACGACUAUAUAGGUAUUGUAGAGGAGACAAUGGCGCAUCGUUUAAGAAAAUCUCCAGAGUGGUUUAUGUUCGAAAAUCUGAAGUCACGGUUAAAAAACUGAAAAUUUUAUUGUGAAAUUGACAAAAUGAGAUUAGGGGGGUAGGGCACAAAAAGGAAAUUUUGGACCAAUUCAAAGAGAUUGUGACGGACAACAACUAUAUAGGUGUUGUAGAGGAGACAAUGGCGCAUCGUUUAAGAAAAUCUCCAAGGUGGUUUAUGUUCGAAAAUCUGAAGUUACGGUUAAAUAACUGAAAUUGUGAAUUUGACAAAAUGAGAUUAGGGGGGUAGGCCAAUUUAAGUUAAUUUUGGACCAAUUUCAAGAGAUUGUGACGGGCAACGACUAUAUAGGUGUUGUAGAAGAGACAAUGGCACAUCGUUUAAGAAAAUCUCCAGAGUGGUUUAUGUUCGAAAAUCUGAAGUUAUGGUUAAAAAACUGAAAUUGUGAAAUUGACAUAAUGAGAUUAGGGGGGUAGGCCAAUUUAAGUUAAUUUUGGACCAAUUUCAAGAGAUUGUGACGGGCAACGACUAUAUAGGUGUUGUAGAGGAGACAUUGGCGCAUUGUUUAAGAAAAUUUUCAGAGUGGUUUAUGUUCGAAAAUCUGAAGUCACGGUUAAAAAACUGAAAUUGUGAAAUUGACAAAAUAAGAUUAGGGGGGUAGGGCACUAAAAGAAAAAUUUGGACCAAUUUCAAGAGAUUGUGACGGGCAACGACUAUAUAGGUGUUGUAGAGGAGACAUUGGCGCAUCGUUUAAGAAAAUCUCCAGAGUGGUUUAUGUUCGAAAAUCUGAAGUUACGGUUAAAAAACUGAAAAUUUUAUUGUGAAAUUGACAAAAUGAGAUUAGGGGGUAGGGCACAAAAAGGAAAUUUUGGACCAUUUCAAAGAGAUUGUGACGGGCAACAACUAUAUAGGUGUUGUAGAGGAGACAAUGACGCAUCGUUUAAGAAAAUCUCCAAGGCAUUAUGUUCGAAAAUCUGAAGUUACGGUAAAAUAACUGAAAUUGUGAAAUUGACAAAAUGAGAUUAAGGGGGUAGGUCAAUUUAAGUUAAUUUUGGACCAAUUUCAAGAGAUUGUGACGGGCAACGACUAUAUAGGGGUUGUAAAAGACACAUUGGCGCAUCGUUUUAGAAAAUCUCCAAAGUGGUUUAUGUUCGAAAAUCUGAAGUUACGGUUAAAAAACUGAAAUUGUGAAAUUGACAAAAUGAGAUUAGGGGGGGGUAGGCAAAUUUAAGUUAAUUUUGGACAAAUUUCAAAAGAUUGUGACGGGCAACGACUAUAUAGGUGUUGUAGAGGAGACAAUGGCACAUCGUUUAAGAAAAUCCCCAGAGUGGUUUAUGUUCGAAAAUCUGAAGUUAUGGUUAAAAAACUGAAAUUGUGAAAUUGACAAAAUGAGAUUAGGGGGGUAGGCCAAUUUAAGUUAAUUUUGGACCAAUUUCAAGAGAUUGUGACGGGCAACGACUAUAUAGGUGUUGUAGAAGAGACAUUGGCGCAUCGUUUAGGAAAAUCUCCAGAGUGGUUUAUGUUCAAAAUCUGAAGUUACGGUUAAAAAACGAGGGAUGGCGUACCUUAAGAUGAUUGAAGACCAAUUUAUAGAGAUUGUGACGGGCAACGACUGUUUAUGUAACGUAGAGGAGACAUUAGAAAAGACAUUGGCGUAUCUAUUUAGAAAAACUCCAGAAUCGUUUAUGUUUGGAAAUCUGAAGUUAGGUGAAAAUAAAUAGCGGGGUUUACCAUUUUAUAAUGGAAAGAUGUUACUUUUUAUACUUGUAUAAAAAAGUACAUCAAUAUUUUUCCCGCGAAAUUUAUCCGACAGUAUGUAUACACCGUUUACAACACACUUUGUUGAAAUCAACAUUAUCUUGAGUCGGUAGUCCACAAACACGACAAUGAAGUAAGUAAUUUUUUAUAUUGAAAUAACAGGGUCCUAAAACUUUGACAAUGUCAUUUUAUAUUCUUUUUGCAUAUCUCUUUCUGUCAACAACUUCGCCAUCCACAUAAAACAUGGAUGAUUGUAAACGUGCACAUUAUUACAUAUUUGUAUACUGCACACAACAUAAUUGAUAAUAAUGGUCCCCAAAAAAGGAAAGAAAUAUAAUACAGUCCUAUUAAUUUUAUUUUACUAAUAAAAAAGAAGUGAUUGCUGAAAUAAAGAAGUAAUUUGUCUGAAAGCUUUGGAAUUAUCUUGUUGAAUGACCAAACCACACCCCUUUCCUUUUUUCGACGAGUCAACGGUCUUUUUUACUUUCUAACGGGUGAACGUAUAUUUAUCUCCGAGCUUCGUUGAGUAUAAUAGGGUAAUAGCUAAACUUCUGAUAAACUUUGUCAAAUUAUUUGACUGAGACAAUUUCAAUUUUUUUUUACAAAAUAAUGGAAAAUAUAAAAGAACAGUAAUACAAUAAAAUGCUCCACAUGGCGCAGCUUGAUACGACCGCAGAGGUCGAACCCUGAACAGUUGGGGCAAGUAUGGACACAACAUUCAAGCUUGAUACAGCUCUGAAUUUGGAUUGUGAUUAAAUAUUUGACACAGCAUAGGUUUCUGACACAGAAUGAAUGUGGUCUAAGAACUUAAAAAUUUUAAAUUGGACAUUCACCUAUUAUGGUCCAAUAUCCAAAAUCUAAAUACAUGGUUAGAUUCAGCAUAUCAAAGAACCCCAAGAAUUCAAUUUUUGAUGAGAUCAAACAAAGUUUAAUUUUGGACCCUUUUGACCUCAAUGUGGACAAAGUUGAUAACGGGGCCCAAAAAUCAAAAAUCUAAAUACAUGGUUAGAUUCAGCAUAUCAAAGAACCCCAUAUAUUCAAUUUUUGUUGAAAUCAAACCAAAGUUUAAUUUUGGACCCCGAUUUGGACCAACUUGAAAACUGGGCCCAUAAUCAAAAAUCUAAAUACAUGUUUAGAUUCAGCAUAUCAAAGAACCCUAAGAAUUCAAUUUUUGUUAAAAUCAAACUUAGUUUAAUUUUGGACCCUUUGGACCUUAAUGUAGACCAAUUUGAAAACGGAACCAAAAAUUAAGAAUCUAAAUACACGGUUAGAUUCGGCAUAUCAAAGAACCCCAAUAAUUCAAUUUUUGAUGAAAUCAAACAAAGUUUAAUUUUGGACCCUUUGGACCUCAAUGUGGACCAAUUUAAAAACGGGGCCCAAAAUCCAAAAACUUAAUACACGGUUAGAUUCAGCAUAUUAAAGAACACCAAGAAUUCAAGAAUAAAACCCCAUUGAAAUUGGUCAAGAAAUAAGCAAUUUAUACGAAGUAUCUUCUUUUCCACAAUACUGUGCAAUUGAAUAUUUCUUGCUAUUGCGCAAUACUGCACAAUUGACAAUUUCUUGCUAUUGCGCAAUAUUGUGCUAUUGGAUAUUUCUUGCUAUUGCGCAAUACUGUGCAAUUGAAGAUUUCUUGCUAUUAUGCAAUACUGUGCAAUUGAAAAUUUCUUGCUAUUGCACAAUACUUAUUAUAUAAUAAUUUACACAUCCUGUUUGAUGUGUGUCUCCUACCAUAUCAUUAUUAUUUGCUUUUAAAUAUAAAUCAGAAAUAACCAACUUAAAAUGGAAAAUUUUAAAAGAAAAAAAACAAAAAAAAGGAAAAAAAAACAAAAAAAAAAACCCAAAUUUUUUGAACCCCCUUAUGAUUCAUCACCCCCAAACUCAAUCCCAGCAUUCCCUUUGUGGUAUGGUACCUUGCAGUACAAUUUCAGAGAGAUCCAUACACUUGAACACAAGUUAUUGUCUGGAAACUAGAAAAAUGCUUGUUUUUUUGCCCCUUUUUGGCCCCCAAUUCCUAAACAUUUCGGGCAAUUACCCCCAAACUCAAUUCCAGCUUUCCCUUUUUCAUAUGGAACCUUGUAGUACAAUUCAGAAAUAUCCAAACACUUACACACAAGUUAUUGUCAUGAAACUGGAAAAAUGCUUGUUUUUUGCCCCUUUUUUGGCCCCUAAUUCCUAAAAUUUUGAGGCAAUUACCCCCAAAAUCAAUCCCAGCAUUCCCUGUGUGAUAUGGAACUUUGUGGUACAAUUUCAGAGAGAUCCAUUCACUUGAACACAAGUUAUUGUCUGGAAACUAGAAAAAUGCUUAUUUUUGGCCCCUUAUUCCUAAACGUUUCGGGCAAUUACCCCCAAACUCAGUUCCAGCUUUCCCUUUGUGAUAUGGAACCUUGUAGUACAAUUUCAGAAAGAUCCAUACACUUACACACAAGUUAUUGUCAUGAAACUAGAAAAAUGCUUGUUUUUUGUCCCUUUUUGGCCCCUUAUUCCUAAUAUUUUAAGGCAAUUACCCCCAAAAUCAAUCCCAGCAAUCCCUUUGUAAUAUGGAACCUUGUGGUACAAUGUCAGAGAGAUCCAUACACUAACACACAAGUUAUGUCUGGAAGUUACAAAAAUGCUUAUUUUUGGCCCCUUUUUGGCCCCUUAUUCCUUAACUGUUGGUACCAUAACCCCCAAAAUCAAUCCCAACCUUCCUUUUGUGGUAUUGAACCUUAUGGUAAAAUUUCAUAGAGAUCCAAUCACUUAAACUAAAGUUAGAGUGCGAAAGCCAAUGUGUCUUCGGACGACGCCGGACGACGACGACAACGACGACGACGACGACGACGACGCCAACGUCAUACCAAUAUACGACCGCAAAAAUUUUUGCGGUCGUAUAUAAACGAAAUUUAAAACACAACUUUCAUUUGAAUUUAAAAUUUUAAUAGAUGUUUAUAUCAAUGUUUAUUGUUUUCUCUGUCCGAACUCAGCAACUGUCAAAUUCAUAAAUGUUAUGGGGACGAUACGCAAGUUUAUGGCAAGAGUUGAUAGAUGUUCGUCUGUGGUAGCUAAUAACGGUUUAUUAUCUUUCUCGUGAACUAGGUUGCACGUGUUCCAAUUUUAGUGUUUGUCAACUUUUAUGUUAAUCAGUUGUUUCUAGAUUUUAGAAGAAUUAGCUGUGCGAUAUCGAACUUAUAUCUUUUUAGAAAAUAAAUAUAUUUACAUUUACUCG